rnacentral:rRNA from 1 species
UACAGAGGGUGCGAGCGUUUGUUCGGAAUUAUUGGGCGUAAAGGGUGCGUAGGCGGCGCGGUAAGUCGGGUGUGAAAUCUUGGAGCUUAACUCCGAAACUGCAUUCGAUACUGCCGUGCUUGAGGACUGGAGAGGAGACUGGAAUUUACGGUGUAGCGGUGAAAUGCGUAGAUAUCGUAAGGAAGACCAGUGGCGAAGGCGGGUCUCUGGACAGGUUCCUGACGCUGAGGCACGAAGGCCAGGGGAGCAAACGGG